rnacentral:sRNA from 1 species
CUUUCUGUCUUCUCCUCUUCCCUGCUCCCACUUCCUGGCUGGUCUCCCACUCUGGUGCCACUCCUUCCUCCCUGUCUCCAUAACUUUUCUCUUUUCUGUACCACCGCUUCCUUGACCCCGACCUCCUCUCUUUUCCUGACCUGUCUCGGUGCUCCUUUAUAUGGCUCCAUCUUUUCCUCCAUGUGUCCGCCCUACCUGUCACCCUUUUUCUCAAAUCUGCCCCUUUUCCCUUGCCUCUUUUCCUUGACCCCAUGCCGUGUGCUUGCAGCUGCUCCUGGAACACCUGGAGUGCCUGGUGUCCAGGCACGAGAGGUCACUGCGCAUGACCGUGGUGAAGCGCCAGGCCCAGUCCCCGGGUGGGGUCUCCUCGGAGGUAGAAGUGCUCAAAGCUCUAAAGUCUCUCUUCGAGCACCACAAGGCCCUGGAUGAGAAGGUCCGGGAGCGGCUGCGGAUGGCGCUGGAGCGCGUGGCAGUGCUCGAGGAGGAGCUGGAACUGAGCAAUCAGGAGACUCUGAACCUUCGAGAACAGCUGUCUAGGCGGCGGUCAGGGCUGGAAGAGCCGGGCAAGGAUGGGGAUGGGCAGACUCUUGCCAAUGGCCUGGGUCCUGGCGGGGAUUCCAACCGGCGCACAGCAGAGCUGGAGGAGGCCCUGGAGCGGCAGCGCGCCGAGGUGUGCCAGCUGCGGGAGCGCCUGGCGGUGCUGUGCCGUCAGAUGAGCCAGCUGGAGGAGGAGUUGGGCACCGCGCACCGUGAGCUGGGCAAGGCAGAGGAAGCCAACUCCAAGCUGCAGCGCGACCUCAAGGAG